AUGAUGAACGCUAGCUACAGGCUUAACACAUGCAAGUCGAGGGGCAGCAUGGUCUUAGUUUGCUAAGGCCGAUGGCGACCGGCGCACGGGUGAGUAACACGUAUCCAACCUGCCGUCUACUCUUGGACAGCCUUCUGAAAGGAAGAUUGAUACAAGAUGGCAUCAUGAGUCCGCAUGUUCACAUGAUUAAAGGUAUUCCGGUAGACGAUGGGGAUGCGUUCCAUUAGAUAGUAGGCGGGGUAACGGCCCACCUAGUCUUCGAUGGAUAGGGGUUCUGAGAGGAAGGUCCCCCACAUUGGAACUGAGACACGGUCCAAACUCCUACGGGAGGCAGCAGUGAGGAAUAUUGGUCAAUGGGCGAGAGCCUGAACCAGCCAAGUAGCGUGAAGGAUGACUGCCCUAUGGGUUGUAAACUUCUUUUAUAAAGGAAUAAAGUCGGGUAUGCAUACCCGUUUGCAUGUACUUUAUGAAUAAGGAUCGGCUAACUCCGUGCCAGCAGCCGCGGUAAUACGGAGGAUCCGAGCGUUAUCCGGAUUUAUUGGGUUUAAAGGGAGCGUAGAUGGAUGUUUAAGUCAGUUGUGAAAGUUUGCGGCUCAACCGUAAAAUUGCAGUUGAUACUGGAUAUCUUGAGUGCAGUUGAGGCAGGCGGAAUUCGUGGUGUAGCGGUGAAAUGCUUAGAUAUCACGAAGAACUCCGAUUGCGAAGGCAGCCUGCUAAGCUGCAACUGACAUUGAGGCUCGAAAGUGUGGGUAUCAAACAGGAUUAGAUACCCUGGUAGUCCACACGGUAAACGAUGAAUACUCGCUGUUUGCGAUAUACUGCAAGCGGCCAAGCGAAAGCGUUAAGUAUUCCACCUGGGGAGUACGCCGGCAACGGUGAAACUCAAAGGAAUUGACGGGGGCCCGCACAAGCGGAGGAACAUGUGGUUUAAUUCGAUGAUACGCGAGGAACCUUACCCGGGCUUAAAUUGCAGAUGAAUUACGGUGAAAGCCGUAAGCCGCAAGGCAUCUGUGAAGGUGCUGCAUGGUUGUCGUCAGCUCGUGCCGUGAGGUGUCGGCUUAAGUGCCAUAACGAGCGCAACCCUUGUUGUCAGUUACUAACAGGUUCCGCUGAGGACUCUGACAAGACUGCCAUCGUAAGAUGUGGGGAAGGUGGGGAUGACGUCAAAUCAGCACGGCCCUUACGUCCGGGGCUACACACGUGUUACAAUGGGGGGUACAGAGGGCCGCUACCACGCGAGUGGAUGCCAAUCCCCAAAACCUCUCUCAGUUCGGACUGGAGUCUGCAACCCGACUCCACGAAGCUGGAUUCGCUAGUAAUCGCGCAUCAGCCACGGCGCGGUGAAUACGUUCCCGGGCCUUGUACACACCGCCCGUCAAGCCAUGGGAGCCGGGGGUACCUGAAGUGCGUAACCGCGAGGAGCGCCCUAGGGUAAAACUGGUG
rnacentral:rRNA from 1 species